UCCAGUCGCAGUUUUGACUUAGUCCACACCCUUCAAACUUAAAGAGGAGUCAGCAGGAGGUGGAGCAAGCAGAGCAACUGCUCCGAGCGCAGUUUGAGCCUUGGACUUGAGCUCUGAGGCUUUAGUGAGCAACAUGUUUGCACGCCGUGGCCCGCGUUCGCUCUGCGCCGCGCGCACUUUCCCUAACUUGUGGAUCUCUUCAGUUUGAGCUUUUUUUUCUGUUGUAGCUAAAGCUGUCUGCUCUCAAAGACAUGUUGCUUCUAUAGGCCCGUUGCACAUGUCAAGCAAAGCCUCAUCAUGGCCGCUCUCCAAGAAGCAGCCAGAACGGAACGCAAUCAUCCAUUAAUCAGAGCAGAGGAAGCCUGUAAAUGUUUCCACACAUCCCCUCUAAACCUCUCACUGCAACGCUUGUGAUGGAGGAAAUCUGCUUCUGUUGGUUCGGUGUAUCUAAAAGAUCACAGGAGCAGAGUUUUUCCAGCUGUGAUCACCACACUGUACAUCUCAAGGGCUCCAGGAAAGCUCCAACGUCACCCAAGGGCUGCUGCUAGCAAGGUUUUGUUGAAGAACUUUCAGAUUCGCAAUGUGAGCCUUUAACUGGAAUCCAGUUUGAAGAUUAUGAUCGUAUAUGGACUAAACUGUUACAUUGUUUAUUGGAAUGUCAUGAUAAUUUCUUUUUUCAUGUUUUCAAAACCCCUGACACAUUUUCCUUCAACUUUACAGUGAUGUGCUACUUUGUGCUGAUAUUACAAAUAAAAUCUCAAUACAUUAAA